UUGUGAAAGCUGGACGCCCCGUGGCGUGGUGUUUGGAGUAUAAUUUCGAAUGUAUAACAGUGCACUCAUUUGUGUUAUAUGCCGUGGGACUAUUGCUGGUCAGAUAAUCAUCGUCGAGUUAGAGGGUCGUAAGGAGGAUCACCGUGAAGAUUUAUCGUGAUUGUCGCGAGGUUAUUGAAUCGUGAUCGGCGGAACAAACGAGGAAUCCCGG